rnacentral:rRNA from 1 species
UACGGAGGAUCCAAGCGUUGUCCGGAUUUAUUGGGUUUAAAGGGUGCGUAGGCGGCGCGGUAAGUCGGGUGUGAAAUCUUGGAGCUUAACUCCGAAACUGCAUUCGAUACUGCCGUGCUUGAGGACUGGAGAGGAGACUGGAAUUUACGGUGUAGCGGUGAAAUGCGUAGAUAUCGUAAGGAAGACCAGUGGCGAAGGCGGGUCUCUGGACAGUUCCUGACGCUGAGGCACGAAGGCCAGGGGAGCAAACGGG